rnacentral:rRNA from 1 species
UUGGAGGGCAAGUCUGGUGCCAGCAGCCGCGGUAAUUCCAGCUCCAAUAGCGUAUAUUAAAGUUGUUGCAGUUAAAAAGCUCGUAGUUGAAUUUCGGGGUUAGUAGGUUGGUCAUGCCUCUGGUAUGUACUGGUCUCACUGAUUCCUCCUUCCUGAUGAGCCGUAAUGCCAUUAAUUUGGUGUUGCGGGGAAUUUGGACUGUUACUUUGAAAAAAUUAGAGUGUUUAAAGCAAGCUAACGCUUGAAUACAUUAGCAUGGAAUAAUGAAAUAGGACGUUCGAUCCUAUUUUGUUGGUUUCUAGGAUUGGCGUAAUGAUUAAUAGGGAUAGUUGGGGGCAUUAGUAUUCAAUUGUCAGAGGUGAAAUUCUUGGAUUUAUUGAAGACUAACUACUGCGAAAGCAUUUGCCAAGGAUGUUUUCAUUAAUCAAGAGCGAAAGUUAGGGGAUCGAAGACGAUCAGAUACCGUCGUAGUCUUAACCAUAAACUAUGCCGACUAGGGAUCGGAUGAUGUUAAUCUUUUAAUGACUCAUUCGGCGCCUUACGGGAAACCAAAGUGUUUGGGUUC